ACAUAAAAACACCCUACAUGAUUUUACUUUCUACAACCAGUAGUGUUAAAUAUUUUUGGCUGCUUCUUUGUGUAAUGGGGGUAGGCUUUAGGACCCAGGGGACCCAAGGGAGGGUAUAAAAGAGGAAGUAGCAGCAGGUGCUCUUCAUUUGCACUGACAGCGGCUGUGAACAAUGGUUGUGUGAGUAGGUGAAGAGCUUGAGAAGUUUUAAUUGUCUUCUACACACAGUUGUUUUAAACCUCUACAGCAGAGGUUCGAGUAGUGAUUUUAGAAAAGCCAAGAUAAGCCAGGUGUGCAGCAAACACAGUUGUCUGCUGGAGGCUUUGACGUUUCCACCUCCUUGUUGGUCUUUCCCAGUGCAGUAGCCAGAGCUGGAUCAAGCAACCAGCAGCCAGACGCCUCCUGCAGGGAGACUAAAUGCAGCAAAGGGUCUCUGGGUGGCUGCUCGGGUGCAG